rnacentral:rRNA from 1 species
GACGAACGCUGGCGGCGUGCCUAACACAUGCAAGUCUUGGGAGAAAGGGAUAGCAAUAUCCUGAGUAAACCGGCGCAAGGGUGAGUAACGCGUAGGCAACCUGCCCUCUGGACGGGAAUAACUUCGAGAAAUCGAGGCUAAUACCCGAUAAUGCAGCGGCAUCGCAUGAUGAUGCUGUUAAAAGCCCGCAAGGGCGCCAAAGGAUGGGCCUGCGUCCCAUUAGGUAGUUGGUGAGGUAACGGCCCACCAAGCCGACGAUGGGUAGCUGGUCUGAGAGGACGAUCAGCCACACUGGAACUGAGACACGGUCCAGACUCCUACGGGAGGCAGCAGUGAGGAAUAUUGCGCAAUGCCCGAAAGGGUGACGCAGCGACGCCGCGUGGAGGAUGAAGGCCCUAUGGGUCGUAAACUCCUUUUGCGGGGGAAGAAUUUGGAGCUACAGGCUCCAUUGACUGUACCCCGAGAAAAAGCAUCAGCUAACUACGUGCCAGCAGCCGCGG